ACAACGGAGAGUUUGAUCCUGGCUCAGGAUGAACGCUAGCGACAGGCUUAACACAUGCAAGUCGAGGG
rnacentral:rRNA from 2 species